UGUCACAGCCCGCAAUCCCUAAGGAUGGCUUAACCGGGGUUAUGACUCGGGAAGGGGAUUCAGAAGCGGGAAAAGAAAGGGGCAUCAUUUGAAACCGUAAAUCUGACUUAACUUAAGAAAAAUCAUCGUAUUUACUCAUUAAUACUCUUUUGAACAGUCUAUGAAAGACAACAUAAAACUUAAUUAAUAUCAUUAAUCAAGUUAUACAUCAUAUGAAACCAUUCUCUUAAGACUCAAAGUAUGACAUAACAUACUAUAACAUCAACAACAUCUUGCAGCGGAAAGUAGCUAGACAUAUGUAUGAAGACAUAUUCUAGACAGGUUAACUAUUUAUUAACAACCCUGGAGACUCCGCUCAUUGCAGCACCAUCAUCACAUCAGCUCAACCUGCACAUUUAGAAAACAUAUGCAGGGCUGAGUACAAAAGCACUCAGUGGGCACGUAUGCCUAGGUAUAAAAAUACAUGCUUGAAAACUGUAAAUUGUCAUGCCAUCAUAAACAGUACAGCAAGGGAGUUUUUCGCUAAAAAGGCCCAAGCUUACUAAAUUCAUUUGUGAUUCUUAAAGUUCGUCUGCAGACUAAGUUCUCUUGUAAUCUAUCAUAUCUGGAACUGUGUGCCGGAGAGGUGGCCACCUCUCACGGUCACUUGACCGGCCAACCCGCUAGAUGACUCACGGUCACUGGUGUACACUAGCCCUGGCAGGAUAGCUAUCAACUGCUCAGGACCCGAAUUCGAUUGCAUCAUUGGCAAAGCCAAAGCAGAUAGAUAUCAUACUAAAAUUUAAACAUUUUAUGGCAAGACAACAGUUGUAAUAUUUUCCAGUUCAAAGAUUUGUAACGAAAUAACUUGUUCAAAGGUAGCAUUAAACUCGUUUGAUAGAUAUAUAAAACUGAAAUUAACAGUUAAAUCAUCUCAUGCAUUCAUUCGUAUAAGAGGCCUACGACACGCAGGGGAUCUCUAUAUACGUAUAGUAAAAGUAAUGCCCACCUUAUUCGUUCCCACUAGGGGCGUAGAGUUACCUCCUUCUUUAGCUUUCACUUCCCGUCUGGACCUUUAUUGACGAAGAGUCGAUAAGUUCGAGAAGAAAGUCGUGUAAGAAAGGAAGAUAGGUCUCUAAACUAAACUAUCUCCUUUUUUAUGAUUUUAGGGUUCUAGCAUCCAUAUUAAUCUUGUCUCGUCUCGUUCAAAACCUUAAACUCAAAACAUUUAUCACAUAACUAACAUUUAGGUUCGAAACUAUUUAUUCGAAUAUCAACAUGCGCAUCAACCAUAACUCAUUCUACUCACGCCAUCAAGUCAGAUAUUCCGUCAUUUAAUAACAAAUCAUAUAAUAUUACAUAAACAAAUUAUGUCAUCAUAGAUCAUGCUUUCUCAUAUUUAAAAUAAUUUAAUCAUUUUCAAACAAUCCAUAUUAAUAAGUCAUUUGAAAAGAAUUAAUUUAAAUAAGAGUUUAACUCAAAAUAUUUUAUUUUAAAGUCCAUUUGUAAAGAUACUUGAAAUAAAAGAACUUCAUUUAAAUAAUUAAUUUAAAGGUCAAUAUAUAAUUAAAUUAAUCAAGCUCAAUUUAAAUUAAUAAUUAAGGGCUCAAAUAAUUUAAAUAGAUAUAAGCCCAAAUUAAUUAGAUAAAUUAAGUCUAUUAUGUUUUUCUUUGAAUAAGGUCCAAACAAUUAUUAAAAUCGACCCAAGUCUCGGCCCAACAGCAAGCCCAACAUAAUUAAAUAAAAAGCCCAGCCAAUUUAAUUAAAAAUCGGCCCAUCAUAGGCCCAAUUCUCAAGCCCACUCCCAAUACCUAAACCCUAUUUCCCUUAUUCCUUCCUCCUACAUCACACGCACACACUCAGUUUCUUCUCUCACUCUCGGCGCCUCUGCGCUCUCUCCGCCGCCGCCGCCGUUCAACGGCGCCAUCGCCGCCGACGAGCGGCGCUCUGCUCUCCCUCGGCAUCUCUCCUCUUCCUCUCGGUUCUCUCCCUCUCUCUCAGUUCUCACUGACUCACACACACACGCACGCAGACACGGCGUAAGCCGCGCCGCCGCGUCGUCUUCUUCCCCGGCGAGGACAGCACCGGUCAGCCAUCUCCCUUCUCUCGACUCCGGCAGCAGUAGCAGCAGCUGUUAAUGAAGCCAGCCACCGCCGAAGCCCUGAAUCACCGACGCCCUCGAAUCCGGCGACCACAGGACAGCCAUGGCCGCCGCCCUUCCUCCCUCCGAUUUCCGGCGAAGCCGCAGCCGCAGCCGCCGACAACCCAGAACGGAAACCACCGCGGCUCCGUCGCCGUCCGUCAACCGCCGGCGACGACGAGCCACCGAGGCUGCCCUCCCCCUGACCUCGACUCACACACGCAAUCAGCCAACACAAAGGGUUUUUUGUGCAAGAAUCAUAUACUGUAAUUGCUCAAAUAAAAGUUUUAACUCUUUCCUUGUAACUUCAGUUCACAAGUACAUAUUUAGUAACUGUAAAUCUAUGAAUCUGCUACUCAUUUUCUUCAUUUAUCAAAGCAUAUGUAAAUCUGAGUUAAUGAGCA